UGCUACCUCUUACCCAUGUCUUUUGAGUACUUACGUUUCCUCGGCGGGUCCGCCCGCCGAUUGGACAAAAUUAAACCCUUUGCAGUUGCAAUCAGCGUCUGAAAAACAUAAUAGUUACAACUUUCAACAACGGAUCUCUUGGUUCUGGCAUCGAUGAAGAACGCAGCGAAAUGCGAUAAGUAGUGUGAAUUGCAGAAUUCAGUGAAUCAUCGAAUCUUUGAGCGCACAUUGCGCCCCUUGGUAUUCCAUGGGGCAUGCCUGUUCGAGCGUCAUUUGUACCUUCAAGCUUUGCUUGGUGUUGGGUGUUUGUCUCGCCUUUGCGUGUAGACUCGCCUCAAAACAAUUGGCAGCCGGCGUAUUGAUUUCGGAGCGCAGUACAUCUCGCGCUUUGCACUCAUAACGACGACGUCCAAAAGUACAUUUUUACACUCUUGACCUCGGAUCAGGUAGGGAUACCCGCUGAACUUAAGCAUAUCAAU
rnacentral:rRNA from 1 species